rnacentral:rRNA from 1 species
UGCCAGCCGCCGCGGUAAUACGAAAGGUGCGAGCGUUAAUCGGAAUUACUGGGCGUAAAGCGCGCGUAGGUGGUGUGUUAAGUCGGAUGUGAAAGCCCUGGGCUCAACCUGGGAACUGCAUCCGAUACUGGCACGCUAGAGUGCAGUAGAGGGAGGUGGAAUUCUUAGUGUAGCGGUGGAAUGCGUAGAUAUUAAGAGGAAUACCAAUGGCGAAGGCAACUUUCUGGAUAGAUACUGACACUGAGGUGCGAAAGCGUGGGGAGCAAACAGGAUUAGAUA